rnacentral:other from 1 species
UAGUCCCUGCCGUGUUCGUGACCUGGUCAACCAUUCCUUGAACCAAUGCUAUUUGGCAUAGGUUGCUGGAUUGACAGGUUAGAGUGCUUGCUGCCUCGGUAGCCGGCCCAAAACCUGACUGAAGGCGACCACCGUGAACCCUAGGUUCCGGGAUGCCGACCUAGACGGCACAGGCGGGGCAUUU